rnacentral:rRNA from 1 species
AUUGAACGCUGGCGGCAGGCCUAACACAUGCAAGUCGAGCGGUAGAGAGAAGCUUGCUUCUCUUGAGAGCGGCGGACGGGUGAGUAAUGCCUAGGAAUCUGCCUGGUAGUGGGGGAUAACGUUCGGAAACGGACGCUAAUACCGCAUACGUCCUACGGGAGAAAGCAGGGGACCUUCGGGCCUUGCGCUAUCAGAUGAGCCUAGGUCGGAUUAGCUAGUUGGUGGGGUAAUGGCUCACCAAGGCGACGAUCCGUAACUGGUCUGAGAGGAUGAUCAGUCACACUGGAACUGAGACACGGUCCAGACUCCUACGGGAGGCAGCAGUGGGGAAUAUUGGACAAUGGGCGAAAGCCUGAUCCAGCCAUGCCGCGUGUGUGAAGAAGGUCUUCGGAUUGUAAAGCACUUUAAGUUGGGAGGAAGGGUUGUAGAUUAAUACUCUGCAAUUUUGACGUUACCGACAGAAUAAGCACCGGCUAACUCUGUGCCAGCAGCCGCGGUAAUACAGAGGGUGCAAGCGUUAAUCGGAAUUACUGGGCGUAAAGCGCGCGUAGGUGGUUAGUUAAGUUGGAUGUGAAAUCCCCGGGCUCAACCUGGGAACUGCAUUCAAAACUGACUGACUAGAGUAUGGUAGAGGGUGGUGGAAUUUCCUGUGUAGCGGUGAAAUGCGUAGAUAUAGGAAGGAACACCAGUGGCGAAGGCGACCACCUGGACUGAUACUGACACUGAGGUGCGAAAGCGUGGGGAGCAAACAGG